ACGGAAGGCAGCAGUGGGGAAUAUUGGGCAAUGGGCGAAAGCCUGACCCAGCAACGCCGCGUGAAGGAAGAAGGUCUUCGGAUUGUAAACUUCUUUUAUGAGGGACGAAGGACGUGACGGUACCUCAUGAAUAAGCCCCGGCUAACUACGUGCCAGCAGCCGCGGUAAUACGUAGGGGGCAAGCGUUAUCCGGAUUUACUGGGUGUAAAGGGAGCGUAGACGGCAAGGCAAGUCUGAUGUGAAAACCCAAGGCUCAACCAUGGGACUGCAUUGGAAACUGUCUAGCUAGAGUGCAGGAGAGGUAAGUGGAAUUCCUAGUGUAGCGGUGAAAUGCGUAGAUAUUAGGAGGAACACCAGUGGCGAAGGCGGCUUACUGGACUGUAACUGACGUUGAGGCUCGAAAGCGUGGGGAGCAAACAGGAUUAGAUACCCUGGUA
rnacentral:rRNA from 1 species